GCUGGUUUCAUAUGGUGGUUUAGAUUUAACUAUUCAUUGUCUAGCACCAUUUGAAAUCAGUGUU
rnacentral:pre_miRNA from 3 species